UGCUUGUUCUACAUUAUUGAAUUCGAAACGGUGAUGGUCUGUGUCACGUUUCGAAUUCGAUUAUGUGGAGCCAACC
rnacentral:pre_miRNA from 1 species